AUUGAACGCUGGCGGCAUGCCUUACACAUGCAAGUCGAACGGUAACGCGGGGCAACCUGGCGACGAGUGGCGAACGGGUGAGUAAUGUAUCGGAACGUGCCCAGUUGUGGGGGAUAACUGCUCGAAAGAGCAGAUAAUACCGCAUACGACCUGAGGGUGAAAGCGGGGGAUCGCAAGACCUCGCGCAAUUGGAGCGGCCGAUAUCAGAUUAGGUAGUUGGUGGGGUAAAGGCUCACCAAGCCAACGAUCUGUAGCUGGUCUGAGAGGACGACCAGCCACACUGGGACUGAGACACGGCCCAGACUCCUACGGGAGGCAGCAGUGGGGAAUUUUGGACAAUGGACGCAAGUCUGAUCCAGCCAUGCCGCGUGCGGGAAGAAGGCCUUCGGGUUGUAAACCGCUUUUGUCAGGGAAGAAACGCUCUGGGUUAAUACCUCGGGGUAAUGACGGUACCUGAAGAAUAAGCACCGGCUAACUACGUGCCAGCAGCCGCGGUAACAC
rnacentral:rRNA from 1 species